GGUGAACGCUAGCGGUGCGCCUAACACAUGCAAGUCGAGCGGUAAAGAAGAAGCUUGCUUUUUCUUGAGAGCGGCGAACGGGUGAGUAACACGUUGGUACAUGCCCCCAAGUCAGGGAUAGCCAGAGGAAACUCUGAUUAAUACCGGAUGUGCUCUUCGGAGUAAAGAUUUAUCGCUUGGGGAGUGGCCUGCGUCCUAUCAGCUUGUUGGUGAGGUUAAUAGCUCACCAAGGCUAUGACGGGUAACUGGUCUGAGAGGACGACCAGUCACAAUGAAACUGAGACACGGUUCAUACUCCUACGGGAGGCAGCAGUGAGGAAUC
rnacentral:rRNA from 1 species